ACGGGUGAGUAACGCGUGGGAAGCUACCUUGUGGUAGGGAACAACAGUUGGAAACGACUGCUAAUACCCUAUGAGCCCUAUGGGGGAAAGAUUUAUCGCCAUGAGAUGUGCCCGCGUUAGAUUAGCUAGUUGGUAAGGUAAUGGCUUACCAAGGCGACGAUCUAUAGCUGGUCUGAGAGGAUGAUCAGCCACACUGGGACUGAGACACGGCCCAGACUCCUACGGGAGGCAGCAGUGGGGAAUAUUGGACAAUGGGGGCAACCCUGAUCCAGCCAUGCCGCGUGAGUGAUGACGGCCUUAGGGUUGUAAAGCUCUUUCAGCAGUGAAGAUAAUGACAUUAACUGCAGAAGAAGCCCCGGCUAACUUCGUGCCAGCAGCCGCGGUAAUACGAAGGGGGCUAGCGUUGUUCGGAAUCACUGGGCGUAAAGCGUACGUAGGCGGACUGAUCAGUCAGGGGUGAAAUCCCGGGGCUCAACCCCGGAACUGCCUUUGAUACUGU
rnacentral:rRNA from 1 species